UGGGGAAUAUUGGACAAUGGGCGAAAGCCUGAUCCAGCCAUGCCGCGUGUGUGAAGAAGGCCUUAUGGUUGUAAAGCACUUUAAGCGAGGAGGAGGGUACUGGUAUUAAUACUACCAGCUACUGGACGUUACUCGCAGAAUAAGCACCGGCUAACUCUGUGCCAGCAGCCGCGGUAAUACAGAGGGUGCGAGCGUUAAUCGGAUUUACUGGGCGUAAAGCGUGCGUAGGCGGCUAAUUGAGUCGGAUGUGAAAUCCCCGAGCUUAACUUGGGAAUUGCAUUCGAUACUGGUUAGCUAGAGUAGGGCAGAGGGUGGUGGAAUUUCCUGUGUAGCGGUGAAAUGCGUAGAUAUAGGAAGGAACACCAGUGGCGAAGGCGACCACCUGGGCUCAUACUGACACUGAGGUGCGAAAGCGUGGGGAGCAAACAGG
rnacentral:rRNA from 1 species